rnacentral:rRNA from 1 species
GAUGAACGCUGGCGGCGUGCCUAAUACAUGCAAGUCGAGCGAACAGACGAGGAGCUUGCUCCUCUGACGUUAGCGGCGGACGGGUGAGUAACACGUGGAUAACCUACCUAUAAGACUGGGAUAACUUCGGGAAACCGGAGCUAAUACCGGAUAAUAUAUUGAACCGCAUGGUUCAAUAGUGAAAGACGGUUUUGCUGUCACUUAUAGAUGGAUCCGCGCCGCAUUAGCUAGUUGGUAAGGUAACGGCUUACCAAGGCAACGAUGCGUAGCCGACCUGAGAGGGUGAUCGGCCACACUGGAACUGAGACACGUUCCAGACUCCUACGGGAGGCAGCAGUAGGGAAUCUUCCGCAAUGGGCGAAAGCCUGACGGAGCAACGCCGCGUGAGUGAUGAAGGUCUUCUGAUCGUAAAACUCUGUUAUUAGGGAAGAACAAAUGUGUAAGUAACUAUACACGUCUUGACGGUACCUAAUCAGAAAGCCACGGCUAACUACGUG